ensembl:lncRNA
CUGUGACAUAACUUAUCAGCAAUCGCCGCUCGCCGGGCGUGUCUGUGACGUGACGUAUUAGCUAUCGCCAGUGUCAGGGCGUGACUGUUUUGUGACUUAUCAGCAAUCGCCACUCGCAGGCCGUGUUUGUUAUGUGACGUAUGAGCAAUUGCCAAUAAUUGGGCGUGUCUGUGACAUAACUUAUCAGCAAUCGCCGCUCGCCCGGCGUGUCUAUGACGUGACGUAUUAGCGAUCGCCAGUGUCAGGGCGUGACUGUUUUGUGACUUAUCUGCAAUCGCCACUCGCAGGCCGUGUUUGUUAUGUGACGUAUGAGCAAGCGCCAAUAGUUGGGCGUGUCUGUGACAUAACUUAUCAGCAAUCGCCACUCACACGGGGUGUGUCUGACGUGAAGUAUGAGUGAUCGCCGAUCACAGGGCGUGUCUCUGACGUGACUUAUCAGCAAUCGCCGCUCGCCGGGCCACGGGCGUGUCUCUGACGUGAUGUCAAAUAUCAAUACAAGACUUGUCUCUCUGCUGUGAUGUCAAAU